AUAAUCGCCCUGAAACGUCAACAUGGAGCCAGUCAGAUGGUCAUGUAGUGUAUAUAUACUGACCAGAGUACUGACCAGAGAACAGGUUUAUCUUGUGUUUAAUUAAUAACACAUGCACGCAAUUUAUAUCAACUAAACAUAAGACUUAGACGCAUAAAGACGUGCUACAGGACCAGUGCAGGCUAUAAAGCGUAAAAUAGUUCAGUAACAACUCUCUAUGUCCGUGAUAAUACACCGUACUGCUAUGUCACGUUAGCUUGUUAGCACGCAGACACUUAGCUAAACACCCCAUACACCACUUUUAUUUAUUUUAAAUGUCCAUAUUUAAAAAAACACACAAAUGUUAACGAAAACGUCCAGGAUAUGAAACUUAAAUCAAGUCAACUUAUAGACGAAGGAGAUGAACAGCACAGGCUAGCAGUCUGGCUAAAAAUACAGGACUAGCCACUAGGCUAACUGAAGUCCAUGACAACACCGUUAUCUCACUGCUUAAACCAAAACAGUGCUACAUUUCAGACACUUUAUAAACACUCGUGAAACUUGUUUACACGUAUAAAGCUUAUGUCUGUCUGCGUAAAGGUGUUUAAACGAGUCGGAACGCUAAGCUAAUUCAGAAUGCUAAGCUAAUCCCAAAUAGCCUUUGCAAAAGCCCAGUUGCCGGUGGCAACAGCAGCACUUUUAAUGUUCAAAGUUGGCUUGUGCAGUUGUGCUUAAACCGAAAGCGUGGUUUCUUUUCAUUUCCGAGCGCAUAGAAACAUUUUAUUAACAAACUCGUAAAAAAAAACCCUAAACAAACACGUAACUCCACGCGAUAAAAUAAAAGUGUUUUUUGUAACGCAGUAAAAGCUGAUAUAAUGUUGAUGUUUGUCUCCAGCUUAACCUACAGUUUGGGCUUCUAACGCACUGCUCAUCUGAGCAUUCAAGAUAAUUUAUAAAGUAGUAAAGCUGAUUUUAAAGCAAUACCCAAGAAAAAAAAAGCGCAGAUUGAAAGGAAGAAGCUCAACAACUUCAACAGUGCAAUCCAGAAGUCCACAACAAUCAGCACAUUUGGUGGACAAAUCCUUAAAGAUUGGUGGGCGAAACCUAAACACAAGAGCUGAGAGAGGAGAGAGAAAGUGGCCGUGCAUUUGCACUGGGAGAUCUGGGACGAAAAAUCUCACAUGAUCCUGUACGUCAGCGAUACAUUUUCAUACGACACCCAAAAUAUUUUAAUGCAACUCAAUGCAAUAAAAAAAAAAAAAAAAAGCAGCCAUGCACGUGAGCAUGGGGAAUUAUAGUGAAGGAUUAACUUUACAUGCAAAAAAUAAAUAAAUAAAACACACACACAUAUAUAUAUAUAACAUCCUGCCGUUGGCACGAAUAAUUAAUAUUAUGAUUAAUAAUGAUAUUAAACGCACGACUCUGUUUAUAAUUUCAUGUAAUUCAGUUUCAGAUUUUCCUUCACUGAUUUUUUUUUGCACUUAUUAAAACCACAACAAAUUGACUGACAUGAUGUGCAAAGAAAAGUGCAGCAUUUUCCCUCCUUCCUGAUAAAAUGAAUCAAUAAAUAAGUGUAUAAUUAAAGCUAUAAAUCACCAGAAUGCGAUAAGGUGUUUAUGAGAUUUAUCUGCUUUUUAUACCUCAGCUAUCUGUUUUAACAUGUGUGUUUGAUAUCGUUCGUGUUAUCCACUCUGUCUCAGUCGACGAAAAAGAAAAAGAAAAAAAAAGAGAGAAAAAAAAAAUUUUGGCAAUUAUUUGUAGUAUUAUUGCUGGUAUGUGGUGAGAUUUGACUCUGGAGCAAGACAGUGGAAACAGCGCCACCUUUUGGUCACAACCUUUAGGUGAGUGAAGUCAGAAAGGUUGCCUCUGUGGUUCUGGUGGAACAUUUGUUGAAAAUAUUAAUCUACCAUCACACAAUGAUCAGUACAUACCAUCCUAUAUCUAGUUUAUUUAGAUUAUUGUCUACCCCUAACCGUAAAGCAGCGGCAAUGGUGGCAGAUUUGCUUCACAGCUCCAGGGUUGAGGGUUUGAAUCCUGUCUCUGUCCUAUGUGUGUUUGGAGUUUACAGGUUCUCCUGUGCUUCAGGGGUUUUCUCUGGGUACUCCAGUCUAAAAAAGUUUAUAGGCUGAUUGGCAUCUCUAAAUUGUCUGUAAUGUGUGUGUGUGUGUGUGUGUGUGUGUGUGUGUGUGUGUGUGUGUGUGUGUGUGUGUGUGUGAUCAUGUUCUGUCCAGUGUGUCUCCCUUUCUCUGAUGAUGUGCAACAUUAAAUGUAAUAAUAAAUGGAUAAAAAAUUA